rnacentral:rRNA from 1 species
UACAGAGGUCUCAAGCGUUGUUCGGAUUCAUUGGGCAUAAGGGUGCGUAGGUGGCGCUGUAAGUCGGGUGUGAAAUUUCGAGGCUUAACCUCGAAACUGCAUUCGAUACUGCGGUGCUUGAGGACUGGAGAGGAGACUGGAAUUCAUGGUGUAGCAGUGAAAUGCGUAGAGAUCAUGAGGAAGACCAGUGGCGAAGGCGGGUCUCUGGACAGUUCCUGACACUGAGGCACGAAGGCCAGGGGAGCAAACGGG